ensembl:processed_transcript
ACGUUAGAUAUAACGUCCCAGCCGGCACACGACCGACCUUCAACGUUGAAAUAUGGUUGAAAUAAGGUCAGUUGUGUUUUGAACGUUGAAAUAAUGUUGAUAGAACGUUUAAUGUUGAAUGGUUGAAAAACAGCCUGCAUAUGACAAGGCUUCAACGUUGAAAUGUGGUUGAAAAUAUGUCAGUUGUUGCUUUAAUGUUGAAACAAUGUUGAAUGAUAAAUGGUUGAAAAAAGUUACAGAAAUCGUUGUACAAAUCAACGUUGACAUUUUUUUUAUCAUGAUCUGUAUAUUGAAUUUACGUCAUGGCUUCACCCAACAUUCAACAUGUUUGGUUACCAUGGUAUUGGAGGACUCCGCGCACGCGGCCACGCGCAGCGCUUCACUUCACUUAAUUACGAACACCUGACCUGCAGUGCAGCAGAAUUCAGAGAGACGCACUAACUUGCACAGCAUUGAAUGGAAAAGGCUUUGUCCAUGACCAGUUGAGGGGCAUCAAGAACAUGCAGAUGGCCUAAACCUGUGUCAGCCUGGACAGACUGCAGUUCUGCUACUCCAUGCCAAGGCUUUUGUAUGGAUGUCUUGACUGCUACUGUGUUCUCUAAAGGUUUUCUGGAAGCUCCAUUUGAGGGCAUCAAGGACAUACUGAUGGC